rnacentral:rRNA from 1 species
AUUGAACGCUGGCGGCAGGCCUAACACAUGCAAGUCGAACGAGUGGCGGACGGGUGAGUAAUGUCUGGGAAACUGCCCGAUGGCGGGGGAUAACUACUGGAAACUGUAGCUAAUACCGCAUACCAUCGGAUGUGCCCAGAUGGGAUUAGCUAGUAGGUGGGGUAACGGCUCACCUAGGCUACGAUCCCUAGCUGGUCUGAGAGGAUGACCAGCCCCACUGUAACUGAGACACGGUCCCGACUCCUACGGGAGGCAGCAGUGGGGAAUAUUGCACAAUGGGCGAAAGCCUGAUGCAGCCAUGCCGCGUGUAUGAAGAAGGCCUUCGGGUUGUAAAGUACUUUCAGCGAGGAGGCGUUACUCGCAGAAGAAGCACCGGCUAACUCCGUGCCAGCCGCCGCGGUAAUAC